rnacentral:rRNA from 1 species
AUUGAACGCUGGCGGCAUGCUUUACACAUGCAAGUCGAACGGCAGCGCGGGCUUCGGCCUGGCGGCGAGUGGCGAACGGGUGAGUAAUACAUCGGAACGUGCCCAGUAGUGGGGGAUAGCUCGGCGAAAGCCGGAUUAAUACCGCAUACGACCUGAGGGUGAAAGCGGGGGAUCUUCGGACCUCGCGCUAUUGGAGCGGCCGAUGGCAGAUUAGCUAGUUGGUGGGGUAAAGGCCUACCAAGGCGACGAUCUGUAGCUGGUCUGAGAGGACGACCAGCCACACUGGGACUGAGACACGGCCCAGACUCCUACGGGAGGCAGCAGUGGGGAAUUUUGGACAAUGGGCGAAAGCCUGAUCCAGCAAUGCCGCGUGUGUGAUGAGGGCCCUCGGGUUGUAAAGCACUUUUGGCGGGAACGAAAAGGACUGUGCCAAUACCACGGUUCGAUGACGGUACCCGCAGAAUAAGCACCGGCUAACUACGUG